rnacentral:pre_miRNA from 1 species
GGUACCUGAACUUAGGUUAUCCGUGUUGCCUUCACUCGAUUUGUGACGCAUCAUACACCGUUCACCUAUUUUCCCAUGCC